AGGCAACUACUACAACACUACUGAACCGGUACAAACUGCAGGUACUGCAGGCAACUACUACAACACUACUGAACCGGUACAAACUGCAGGUACUGCAGGCAACUACUACAACACUACUGAACCGGAUCAUUCACGUAGUAACAAAGGAAAAAAUCUACAGAAAGAAUGUACGAGUAUAAGCGAAAAAAGCGACUCCAAUACAA